rnacentral:lncRNA from 1 species
GGGUUCUAAUACAAUCAGCCCUCUAUCCCUUUGUAUCCUCUGUGGCAAUUUCCCCUCUCAUUCUUCCUCCAUAUGAGAUAGCCAUCCCAGCCUACCUCCUCCUGGUCUAUUUCACUACCAUUUUGGUGUAUUCCAUUACAUUCAUCUUGACCUCCUCUUCCAAAUAUACAAGCACCUUCAAAAUUGUGUUUUUGGUUGCUUAUGAUUAGUCUGUCAUUACCUAUGUAGGUUUCUUAUAGAUCAAAUUUUCCUUUGAGUUCUGGGUUUUUUUCCCCCCAGGAAUAGUUGAAACUCCUUUAGUUUAUAAAAAAAAUCCAUUUUUUGCCUUUUAUAUAAUUAAGCUUAUCUUUUCUAGAUAUUAUUCUUGACUGUAAGCACAGUUCUUUUGCUCCAUGAAAUGCUGUGUUUCUUGUGUUGUGGCUGCUAAGUCUUGUGUUAUUCUGAUUAUAGCUUCACAGUAUUAAAAUUUUUUUAUCUUCUUCCUUGUAGUAGUUUCUCCUUAAUCUGGGAGCUAUGGAACUUAUCAAUGAUGUCCCUGUGCAUUUUCAUCUUUGGUUCUCUCUGAGGUGGUGAUCAGUGGAGACGUAAGAGAGGAAACUUAGACUCAAUCUGCCAGAAGAACAAGCCAAGUGGGGGAAGGGCAAGAGGAACAGAGAAUUCCAGAGAAAGAACAGAGAGAAGAGCUGAGAAGAUCCAAGCAGUUAACUUUACUUCUCUUUGGGAAGCCCUUCAGAAAGGUUGCUCUGAAAGCACCUCUGAGCCCUGGUAAUCCUUCUGUGAACCUAGAUCCCCUGAAUCCAGCAGAAGACAACAGGAGUGAAUAGGAAUUUUGAUAUAAAGCUAUCCACCUCAAGAAGAUUUCCUCUCCAUCUCUCCAAAGGGGGAAAUAUGGUUAUUUAAUAAAACAGAAGAUUUCCAAGCAUUCCUGAAGCAAAGACCAGACAUAAACAAAAAUUUUGAUGUCCAAAUACAAAAUUCAAGAGAAGCAGAAAAAAGGAGCUUCCAGUCUUUCCAAGGCAGACGAUGUGUAUACACACAUGUGGUCUCUAGAACUCAGAAAUCUCUGGAGGAACAGAAUAGCAACAGAAAUGUGUCAUCCAGCACUGUUAUAUUCAAGGAUGGGGUAAAGGUAGGAUGUUUUUCCCUUCCCCUUUUUCAUCCCCUUUG